CCUACGGGUGGCAGCAGUGGGGAAUAUUGGGCAAUGGGCGCAAGCCUGACCCAGCAACGCCGCGUGAGGGAAGAAGGCCCUCGGGUUGUAAACUUCUUUUAUUCGGGACGAAAAAAAUGACGGUACCGAAUGAAUAAGCCACGGCUAACUACGGGCCAGCAGCCGCGGUAAUACGUAGGUGGCAAGCGUUAUCCGGAUUUACUGGGUGUAAAGGGCGUGUAGGCGGGAGAGCAAGUCAGACGUGAAAUUCCAGGGCUCAACCCUGGAACUGCGUUUGAAACUGCUCGUCUUGAGUGCAGGAGAGGCAGGCGGAAUUCCGGGUGUAGCGGUGAAAUGCGUAGAUAUACGGAGGAACACCAGUGGCGAAGGCGGCCUGCUGGACAGUAACUGACGCUGAGGCGCGAAAGCGUGGGGAGCAAACAGGAUUAGAUACCCGAGUAGUC
rnacentral:rRNA from 1 species